CUCACCUCUUGCCACUCCUUCCAUUUUUAUCUCCGGUUACUAAACCCGCCAACUAAUUUUUCUUCCUAUCCCACCGAUCUUCUCUCAUUGUUUCCAUUCUGUUCCGGAUCUCCUCCCCCCAAUCCUUUCCGGUCACUCCCAAGUCAGAAUUUUCUUCCAAAUCUGACCAUACCUAUCUUGUUUCCAUUCCAUUUCCGAUCUCCUUCCCUCAAUCUUUUCCAAUCAUUCCCAAUUCAUUUUUUUCUUCCAAAUCCGAUCACACCCGAUCUAGAUCUCGAGGGUUGCCUCCCGUUCAUCCCAGCACGUCCCUUGUACCAGCCAUGGAAGAGAGGAGGGAGAGAAGAUGGGAGCGCAGUGGCCUCUGGGUCGUCUUGGCCCUGGCCGGAAGGCAUUGGAAGGAGCCCGGGAAUGGGCAGCACGGCGAAGGUCGUGGCCAUCGUGGUCGCGGCCGUCGUGCUCGUGGCGUGCGUGUUCCUGGCCAUCUGGAAGUACCAACGGCAGGCCAGCACCGUUGCACGCACACGGACACGGUCACUCGAGUCAUCCACGUCAAUGCCGCAGGCCAACGGCUCCGCGAGCCUUGAUCCAGUAUCUCUGUCUCCGUGGUCUCCGAGAGCGUCUCCGACUGGGGCAACAACCUGCUGCCGGCGGGGAAGCAAGUCGCCUUCUGGGGCGGUCGGGGCAACAACGGCAGGGACCAACCCCUGUCCGUCUUUGGGAUCCCGAAGUACCAUUACAAGGAUCUGCAGAAGGCUACCAAAAACUUCACAACGAUUCUGGGCCAUGGAUCAUUUGGUCUUGUGUACAAGGCUGUAAUGGCUACUGGUGAAGUCAUGGCUGAAAAGGUUCUUCCGACACCGCUGCUACUUGGUGCCCGCCGCACCCAAGGCAUCGGUUGCCGUCCCUGUUCUCCCGGUGGCCCUCUCGUCAUGCGAUCACUUGGUCGAGAGUUUGUCACAGCCGCUGAGGAACAGGUCGGUGAACUCUAUUUACUUUUUCUGGUCUCACCUUAGCUAUUUGAUUCCCUUCAAUUGUGUGUCGCAUAUGUGCAGUCUAAUUCAGAAUUUUUAAAUUUACAUGUUAGUUGCAGAGUGACUCCCAGGAAAAUUACUCAAAUUUAUCCAAUGGGUAAUGACAAAGUAAGAAUGGCAGGUCCAUUGCUAGCCAGCUCCGAAUAUGGAGACAAAUCAUGAUUCUUUUAUCAAUAACCAUCAACAGAACUCCAAAUUCUUGAUAUUGAAAUGAAAAGUGAGCCGACAUCUAUGCCAUGUUAAGCUUUGAGUUCAGCUACUUCCUAUGUGUUUUCCAAAGCAAAGCUGGUGUUUAUGUUUCUGUUUUUCUGUAACCAUUUAUCUUUUUAAUUGUUCAAUCGUCCAAGAAUAUAUUUGUAUUACUACCUUUUAUCAAUACUCCAUGUGUUCAUUCCAAAGCAAAGUUGUCCAGCCAAGCUACCUGUUUUCUGUUCUUAACAUUUUCACUGAAUUUUUGUCACUCUUGUCUUGCUGAUAUGGUAUGGUGCUAAAUACUUGAGAAAUAUCUUGCAUGAUAUUCUUCUCUUCCUACGUGCAUUUAUUUAUCAGAUUGGAGGAAAGGUAGAUUUAAUUUCAGUAUACUCUAUGCCAAGAGACACUCUAAUUUUGCUUUCUUACACAUGUUACUGCAGGACCAUAGCAGACCAUUGCAAUGCGGCAACCCAAAUUUCAAUUCAACAGUGUUCUGUGCGCAUCAGUAAGUUAUUUAUCUUGCUUUCACUUUUAAAUUUCUUGCUGAAUCACUACAAGCAUGUGUUCCUGUCUCCUACAUGUCUCUAAAUUCUAAGAUUUGAAAUUAUGAAUAUUUUUCUGUAAUAUAUUUCAUGGUUUUGUGGCUUAUGCCUUGCAAGAUUUUUGCCAAUGCGGAAGUGCACAAUCCUUUUGAACUUAUAUAAUUUAUAUCCAUUAUUGAGGUGGAAUGUACCUUGCAGCUUAUCAUCGCAGAGUCGCAUUUUGCAGAGUCUUUGACCAUAAUUGAUCUGAAGCUGCAUUUUGGCAAUUUUGUUUUAUAACUUAGUGGCUAUUAUUAUAUAAGACUGCUCACUUCUCUCCUAAGCACAUUGAGUCAUAUAUUUUUCCUCUUCAACAUAAGAACAGGUAUGUACCUUGCCCUUGUCUUCAUUUGAUAAGAGUGAUAUGAGGAUUGAGGCAUAGAACAUGAUGUCAUAAAUUGCAUGCUGGACCAUACUUGAGUUGCUUUACUUGGCCUCGUAAUUUUUUUGAUCCCUCUAGCUUUGUGGUUUUUUUAUAUGUGCAUUCUUUCUAGACUAGAACACAUGAACCAAAAAGCUUUAUUUCUCUUGGGAUUUUGGUUUCUUGCAUACUGUAUAUAUAUAUUUAGUUGCUUGGAUUCAGGAGGAGAAAAUAAUGGGUGGAGGAAGAAGAGUGAUUUUGUGGUACAAAAAUGUUGGCAAUGUUUCAUUAAAAUAUGUUAUCUGAUGUGCUUGAUUCUUCCAUAGUUACAUGUUUAACAUAGUUAAUGUUAAUAUUGAACCCCCAGAAUAUAUUGCUAACAUGAUGGAAUGAGAUGAGAUCUCAACGUCCAGACUGCGGUUGAUCCAUUAUGCAACCAUGAAAAAUAUAAUAACUCUGAGGACCUUGUAUGGACAAUAUAUCUGAAUCUCAAUUGCACAUGUGAAAAAGGAUGUGUGAACUGUACCUAACCUCUUAUAGGAUUUGCGGGAGAUUGUUAGCGAGCCACUAGUUGAAGUUCUUCUGCAAUCAUGCCGAGGAUUUGAUCUUGGCUGGCAUGGAUGGGGGUGUUGUUCGGUGGCAGCGGGGUGCGGCAAGGUACAAGAAAAGGAAAAGUGGGAGGGUGGAAUAUACCGAAAUGGGAGUAUCCAAAAUAGAUUCGGUACUAGGAGGCCGGUUACGUGGGGCGGGAUAGGAGGAUGAACGGAAUGGGAACCUUGAAGACUAUAAUUGGUCGAAGAGCAGCCAAUGCUAUCUGUUAUUUGCUUGCAACAACAAGAUGUGUUAUAGCUCUUGUCAUGCAUCAUUCUGUAUUCAUCUUAGUGUCAAUUUGACUUGUUUUCUAAAUAAAUUAUAAUAUAGGCAAGAACUGGUUUGUUUUCGUCUCACCUCCUAUCACUGUGGUUGAUCCCUUAUGCAACCAUGAAAUAUACAAUAAUUCUGAGGACCUUGUAUGGAUAAUAUAUUUGAAUCUCAAUUGCACAUGUGAAAAAGGAUGUGUGAAUUGUACCUAACCUCUGGUAGGAUUUGCGGGAGAUUGUCAGUGAGCCACUAGCUGAAGUUCUUUUGUACAAGAAAAGGAAAAUCUAGGCUGGCGUGGACCGGCUUGUGUACUCCUGGAUGGCGAUGUCGCCUGGUGGCAACAAGGUGUACUCCUGUAUGGGGGUGCCGUCCAGUGGCAGUGGGGUGUGCAACGUACACUAAAAGGAAAAGUGGGAGAGUGGAAAAUACCAAAAUGGGAGUAUCCAAAGAAGAUGAGGUACCAUGAGGCAGGUUACAUAGGGAGGCGGGACGGGAGGACGAACGGAAUGGGAACCUUGACGUUUAUAAUUGGCCAAAGAGCAACCAGUGCUAACAUUUAUUUUCUUGCAAGAACAAGUUGUGUUUAUAGAACUGUUUCCAUGGUGCCCAUGUCAAGUGUUGCAGUGGAUUAAAAAGUUUACCGUAUGAAUCUUUUUUUGUUGUUGUAUGGAGUAUAACCAUAAAUUUGUGUGCUCUAUAGUGGUGGAGUAAAUGAGCCAGGAUUAAGUUCAAAAGGUUGUCUUAGCCCCUACAAAGGCUAAGACUUCUCUUUAAUAUUUAAGCUUCUAGGAUAUACUAUAGCCACCGAAUGUUACGCUGAGCAAAAUUAAGUUUUGAGUUGUGAGAGAGGGAAAUGGAGAGGGAGAUGUGUGUGUGUGUGUGUGUGUGAGAGAGAGAGAGAGAGAGAGAAGCGUUGGAAAAAGGGGAGGGAGAGAGAUGGAAGGUGGUAGAUAGAGUGGGGGAGCGAGGGACAUAUGUAGGGUGUGAAAGAGGAAAACUGGCAUAUUACAAUCAGAUAGAGAGGGGAGAUAGAGAGAGCUUUAGUGUGAAAUUUAGGCACAAGUGCAUCGUUUCGUGUCAGAAAUUAAAAGUGUGUGUUGAUGGAGGGUGGGGGGAUUCGGAGCCAGAUAUGUCACUAAUUGAGG